UAAGCACAAAGAAAAAAAGAGGUGAUAAUAACAUCUGUCAGGACGGAGCUUUAUCUAAAACAUGGAAAAAAGUACGAUAAGGAAGCCAUACAGAAGAAAUUUUGCGACCUGAAGCGGCUUCACCCUGAACUCGUGAAGGAGUAUAGUGAGCGAUUACGCCCAGGUGUUCCUGUUCCUUCUCUUCGACGAAGAAUUUCAAAAAAGAGGGUGUGGAGGAAGAGUCGGCUGAGCAGGCAGAGGAGGAGCAGCCUGGACCAUCGCAGCCAGGGGAUUCCUCUCCCCCACCUCCAGAAGAGGGAGACAUGGAGGUCUACACCCCCAACCAGGAGGGUGUUCCCGUUCCUCCUGUACAGCAAAUGGGUUAGGAGGAAGAGUUGGAGGAGCAGCCUGGACCCUCCACUGAUCGAGGAGGACCAUCCCAGCCAGGGGAUUCCUCUCCCCCACCUCCAGAAGAGGGGGACAAGGAGGUCUACACCCCCCAUCAGGAGGUUAUUAGAAAACUUAAAAGGCGGCUCCUUGAGCAGCGGAAGACAGAAGCCAAGUGAAUGCUGGCUGUAAAAGCCGAGAAAAAAGAAAACUAGGCCUACUUCAGGCUCGGUUACACAGGCAUCAGCGUCAGCUGGAUGAUGCUUACAAGAAGCUCGAGGAGCAGAGGAAGAUACAUGAUGAAGAGCUC